UCCUACGGGCGGCAGCAGUGAGGAAUCUUGCGCAAUGGGGGAAACCCUGACGCAGCAACGCCGCGUGAGUGAGGAAGGCCUUCGGGUCGUAAAGCUCUGUCUGGUGGGAAGAAAUGCAUGACGGCGAAUAACCGCCAUGCUUGACGGUACCGCCGAAGGAAGCACUGGCUAACUCCGUGCCAGCAGCCGCGGUAAUACGGGGGGUGCAAGCGUUGUUCGGAAUUAUUGGGCGUAAAGAGCGUGUAGGCGGCUGGGUAAGUCAGAUGUGAAAGCCCUGGGCUUAACUCAGGAAGUGCAUUUGAUACUGCCCGGCUUGAGUAGGGGAGAGGGAAGUGGAAUUCCUGGUGUAGAGGUGAAAUUCGUAGAUAUCAGGAGGAACACCGGUGGCGAAGGCGACUUCCUGGCCCUAUACUGACGCUGAGACGCGAGAGCGUGGGGAGCAAACAGGAUUAGCCCUAGUAGUC
rnacentral:rRNA from 1 species